rnacentral:rRNA from 1 species
CGAAUUCGCCCUUCCUACGGGAGGCAGCAGUGGGGAAUUUUACGCAAUGGGGGAAACCCUGACGUAGCGACACCGCGUGAGCGAAGAAGCCCUCUGGGGUGUAAAGCUCUGUCAGCAGGGACGAAAAAAAUGACGGUAUCUGCAGAGGAAGCAUCGGCUAACUACGUGCCAGCAGCCGCGGUAAGACGUAGGAUGCAAGCGUUGUCCGGAUUCAUUGGGCGUAAAGAGUUCGUAGGCGGUUUGUUAAGUCUGAUGUUAAAGAUCAGGGCCCAACCCUGAGAGUGCAUUGGAUACUGGCAGACUGGAGUGCAGUAGAGGCAAGUGGAAUUCCCAGUGUAGCGGUGAAAUGCGUAGAUAUUGGGAAGAACACCGGUGGCGCAGGCGACUUGCUGGGCUGUAACUGACGCUGAGGAACGAAAGCUAGGGGAGCAAAUGGGAUUAGAUACCCCAGUAGUCCUAGCUGUAAACGAUGGAUACUAGGCGUUGCAGGUAUCGACCCCUGCAGUGCCGCAGUUAACGCGAUAAGUAUCCCGCCUGAGUAGUACGGCCGCAAGGUUGAAACUCAAAGGAAUUGACGG